CCGGAGAUCACCUGCAGCUUGGUGUAUGCAACAUGGCUUCGUACCUCAAAUGUCUUUGUCUCUGUGCCCAAAGGUUUUCUCUGAAUGCAGAAGCAAGUGGAGCUCAGCACAGAGCAGGCUGCAAGUGCCCAAGAAAGAAUGCUCCUAGGAGCUGCCUUCAACUGACGAGACGACCUGACACGCUGACUGGGAAUACAUCACUCAGAGUACAUGGCUGGUGCAUCCUCCAAAUCCUUCACAAUACAUCCUCCAGGGAGCCACCACCAAGCA